CGUCUUCAUAUCUCCCAUGGUCCUGCCACUGCUCUGAUGAGGAGAUCACCUGAAAAACACAGAUGGAAUAGAAGAAUAAUGAGUAAUAUCUUAGGAUACGUUGUGCAAGCAAAAGAUUUGACUUAUUCAUCAGUCUCCAAAGCUUUGGUAGAUGCUCACAAUGUUGACUGAGAUGGGGGGUGAGGGGACUCUCCACUCUGGCUCUGGAGCAGCAGCAGCAGCUGGUGCAGAGAAAGAAGAGAGAGAGGGAGACAGAGACAGAGACACAGGGAGGUGGGGGAGUUAGAGAACAAGAAAAGGAAAUGAGCAGGAGAGUAUAAUCAGGACCUGAAUAUACACACUAUGUUCAUAUUUCAGGCCUGUGCAGCAUAGGAUGUUAGCAAAUGUUAGCAUAGGAUUGUGUUGAUAAAGUAGUGUUGAACUGUCGAUGCUGCACAUUUUUUUAAGGUCAAUAACAUUAUAUAUAAAUAGCCUAGGCCUGUUUAGGCCCGACUGCCCAUCUGCAUGCUGCGUGUGCCAAGGUCACUGAAUCUUGUGUUUGCUUUUCUGUUGUUUACGAUUGGAAGUGUUGCACAUUUUGAUGGCAAUCCAGCUGCCUGUUUUUUAUGCUCAAGUGCAAAAGAUAAAUACCCACAUGCAUACAUCUUACAGUACAAAAGCAAUGCAAGAGAAGAUGGCUACUCUUCAGUGUAAAAGGGUAUGACAUAAUGCCUAAUGGCACCAUUUUCUCUAACACAUGCAAACAUUGGUAAUUCAUACUUUUCACUCUGCAAACGUGAGCAAGAUUGUCCUGAUUCCAUUAUUAUUCAUGUAGAUAAAUAACACAUCAACCAUCAAAAAGUAAAAAUAUCAUCACAUUACAGUAUGUGGGAUAGAUAUGAUCUAAAGUCUGGUAAACAAAACAUGAUUAAAGCAAGUAUUUUAUAACCUACCUGGGAGCCUGCAGAGAGGUGCCUUCAGCAGACUGCCUCUGUUUGGCCUGCUACCAGUCCUUAAUACAUCUGGCAAGCCUCUCAAAGGCAGCCAUGAAUGCUGCAGCAUAAACUAAUUAACCUUCAUUAUGUAAAAGACCAUGACAGAUUUAUUCAUCAAACAACACAAAUGCAUUUUAUACACUGCGAGGCAGUUGGAUUUGUGCAUAUAUAUUAUAAAAGGCCCUCAUGGCGCCUCCUGCCUCUCUACAGUGCAGGAGGAGGCUGAGGUUGCUGUGCUCCCCUCCCCUAACAGAGACACAGUAAUGUGACGUCAUGUUGCCUCCGUUCAUGUUGCCUAUAAGCGGCAAACAUUAAGGGAGUUUAAGGAAGUCUAUUUUAAGAUUCUUUCCGCCAUUUAAGCAAAAUUUACUGAUUUGUCUGAUAUGCGUGUAUUGGGUUGAAUGAAAGAGAAACUAUUUUCAAAGAAUGUAGAUUGUAAAAACCUUUUGAUUGAGAUGAUUUAAGUCACUUUAUUUUUGAUAAACAUUGAUGGUAGUUUAGUUGUUUUCUCAAUUUGUGAUAGCUUACUGUUUGCUGCUAUGAAAAUGCUAAAAAUCUACUGAAUUAGUGGUACAUUUUUUCACAUUACUUGUAAAAUUCUUUAUUCUAAUCAAAAAAUCCUUAAGGCUAAACUGAAAUUUGAUUUCAUUUUAGUUGACAUUAGAUCUCAA